ACUGCUAUUCGUUUACUUGCUCGUUUCCAAUGUCUGCCGUAACGACAUAACACGUGAUCGCUCAGUUCGGCUUUGGUCGUUGUUUCUCGAUUUAAUUCGAUAUACAAUAUAUACAUAUAUAAAACACAGUAUAUACGAAAGAUAUAACGCAAAAUACAGCAAAUUAUAUUGAUGGCUCGUAUAUGAUAAUUCUAAACGUAUAAUAUAUGUUAAGUAUUAAGAUGGAAUGGGAAAGAAUAUGGAUUAUAUUUUACGCAAAAGUGAACAAUAAUAGAUUAAUUAACUUGCAUAUGUAUUCAUCUAACCUAUACAAAACGCAACUCAGGUAUGAUUUGAUAUUAUAUAUAUUAUACCAUAAUCAUAAUAAUAGUUUAAAUAU